rnacentral:rRNA from 1 species
GUGUCAGCCGCCGCGGUAAUACGGACCGUCCAAACGUUAUUCGGAAUCACUGGGCUUAAAGGGUACGUAGGCGGCGCUGUUAGUCGGGCGUGAAAGCCCUCGGCUCAACCGAGGAACUGCGCCCGAAACUGCAGUGCUUGAGGGAGACAGAGGUAAGCGGAACUGAUGGUGGAGCGGUGAAAUGCGUUGAUAUCAUCAGGAACACCAGUGGCGAAAGCGGCUUACUGGGUCUCUUCUGACGCUGAGGUACGAAAGCUAGGGUAGCGAAGGGGAUUAGAUACCCGAGUAGUCC